UAAAGAACAUAGAUUGACGCCGAUUGC
rnacentral:sRNA from 1 species